rnacentral:rRNA from 1 species
GACGAACGCUGGCGGCGUGCUUAACACAUGCAAGUCGAACGGAAAGGCCCUGCUUUUGUGGGGUGCUCGAGUGGCGAACGGGUGAGUAACACGUGAGUAACCUGCCCUUGACUUUGGGAUAACUUCAGGAAACUGGGGCUAAUACCGGAUAGGAGCUCCUGCUGCAUGGUGGGGGUUGGAAAGUUUCGGCGGUUGGGGAUGGACUCGCGGCUUAUCAGCUUGUUGGUGGGGUAGUGGCUUACCAAGGCGUUGACGGGUAGCCGGCCUGAGAGGGUGACCGGCCACAUUGGGACUGAGAUACGGCCCAGACUCCUACGGGAGGCAGCAGUGGGGAAUAGUGCACAAUGGGCGGAAGCCUGAUGCAGCAACGCCGCGUGCGGGAUGACGGCCUUCGGGUUGUAAACCGCUUUCGCCUGUGACGAAGCGUGAGUGACGGUAAUGGGUAAAGAGGCACCGGCUAACUACGUG